UCUUGUGCUUCGUACGAGACCCAUGCAGACUGGAUAGCCUCAAGAAAGUUAAAGGAAUAGUAUUAUUCACCAAACGACAGGGGCUGUUUGGACAAGGAUCUUUCUUCAGUUACUGGGUCACCUUAGGAAGCCUCAAGGGAACGUCGCUUGUGUGUCUAGGCUGGAAGUGGUAGGUGGUGCUUGCAUCCCUGAAGAUUUUGCAAAAAAUACAUUGGAAAGGCCCGAAGUUUGGAGUGGAGCCUCAGAUUCUAGCACAUGAACUGGCAGUGGUGACGAGGAAAGUGGCUGGAAAAGCGGACUCGGAAGAACGUGAAAGGUGCCUUAUUGAAGCUGCCGUUUGAUGUUUGGCGCGGCUGUGCACUAUACCUCUGGGAACGACCCACGCAAGAGGCUGCGUUUCUCCCGGAAAGUUCGCCUUCGUGCAUAGCGUUCGCCGCCAGCGUUUCCCGCCCAGGAUCUGCUGCGGCCUGAGCAGUCUCCUGGACCCGCCAUGCCACUCGGCGCUUGCCAGGCGAGUCCAAGCUUGGCAGUGCGGCUUCCCUAUCAUCGUGUGCGGGUCUGGCAAUCCGAGGCAACUUCGCUUGGCCAUCCCUCCGUCAAGUGGCUCUAAUCCAAACCGAUUUUGGGCCAGCCGCCCAUAGAACUGAUUGCGCCGUUUCCGGAGUAAAAUCGAGUUGAACGAGAUCAUCGCAUCUCCCGACGAACCCAAGAGAAAACCGUCGGCAUUUACGACGCCCAAUGUACAGCUUCAUACGGACAUAAAAGAAAGCCAAGUAGAUCCAACUGCAUAAUGACUACGUGCCUGACCGGCAAGACGCGGAUACCUUCCCCACAGGACCCACACGUGACCCACGUGGCAGUGGAUGGCGCCGUCUCCAGGAACGGAAGAAUCAACGCCACCCUACACAAGUGGUUGUGUAGCGGCCCGUUCACCACCGUCGCAAUGCAUGAAGCGGCGCGCGGAACACCGAGUCUAUUUCGGGCAGCGCGUGCUUACGUAGCGAACUGACAGUGUCCCGCAGUUCACAGAUUGCCUGAAUACAUACACCAAAGGUGGACGGUUUCCUCAAAGUCGACGCAAAACAUUACUUGGACCCGUUCCAUGUUCAGGGCCGACUCACAAUAAGUCUUAUAUG